UGUACAUGUCCAACUGGCUGGUGUUUUCUGACCUUGGCCUCAUUUUCAUGGUGCAGUGGUCAAAGUUGGUGUGAUGAAAUGUUUUAAAUCAAAUCAAAUAAUUUUAUUGGUGUAAAUUCCUAUACAGAAAUGAUACCAGCCGACAUUUACAAAAUACAAAUACAAAAAUAAACAAACAAACAAAUAAAAAAAAAAAAAACCCAACCAAACAUAUUUUCUCAAUGAUCAUAAGAGAUACAUAUUUUAUAUUUACAUUGCGUGGAGGUGUUAUUCAUACUAUAUUAUUAAUCCAAGCUAUUACAAUCUUAACAACAUUAUGUUUGCUUUAAAUGAAUGUUCAAAUCAUACAUAUCGCUUAUUCCAGCUACACUUACAGUACUA
rnacentral:lncRNA from 1 species